rnacentral:rRNA from 1 species
AUACGGAGGGUGCAAGCGUUAAUCGGAAUUACUGGGCGUAAAGCGUACGUAGGCGGUUCGUUAAGUUAGAUGUGUAAGCCCCGGGCUUAACCUGGGAACUGCAUUUAAAACUGGCGAACUAGAGUUGAGUAGAGGGGAGUGGAAUUUCAGGUGUAGCGGUGAAAUGCGUAGAGAUCUGAAGGAACACCAGUGGCGUAGGCGACUCCCUGGACUCGAACUGACGCUGAGGUACGAAAGCGUGGGUAGCAAACGGGAUUAGAAACCCUAGUAGUCC